ACUAAAUAUCAUCCGUUGAUCUACUUUUAGAUAAAUCUUAUCCAUCCAUUGUUUCAAUGCAUCAACCGACUACUCACCGUCACGGUGAAGGCUCACAAGCUCCCUUCUCCCCUCGUUCUUCGCCGCCCCUGUAUCUCCUUCUCCCUCGCUCGCUCCCACCCGAACCCAAUAUUCACCCCAGCCCUCUCCCCUCCACUGUGAUCCCGCUGCACCCCCACCUCUCCAUAUCCGCCCCCUUCUCUCCUCUCUCUCUCUCACACCAGAGUUCUCGGAGACUUACUGGAGACUCUCGCCCCUUUUCGCAACUCGUUCAGAUUUCUGCGACAGGUGCCACUCACUAAAGUCACUGCGAGCUCUCACACCUUUGAAGCUUGUCUCUCUGCCUAGCUGAAGUAGUUCAACGCCUUCCAAGUCCCAAUCUCUUACUAUUAUUCACCACGUUUAACUUUUCCCCAAUUAUUUUUUUGGGGCAAUUUGAUAUGCUCUUAAUUUUUCAUCUUCGGAUCACGCAGUUUGUGCGUCUCUCGUCCUUUGAUCUUCCUUCUUUGUGAGUAUCUCACCCAUUAAAAGCACGUCUUCUUCACAGACCAAGUCUUCUCACCAAAUCUAUCUGGGUCAAAACUUGACUCUGCUUUGUUUGAAUGGGUGAGGAAGGGGAAGAAGAAGCAGAGAGCUCUGGGAAAAGUAAGGAAUGAAGAUGGGUCUUCUUCCUUUGAUCUUCUCUGACUCAGCUUUCUCCAGUCGUCAUCCUCAUCAGGAAAGUUUGUCCCUCCUUCCUUUUUCCUCUCUCUUCUGCAAUUUUAGUCGUCGGGGUUACAGUCACCGCUUCCAAAAAACGAAGAUGAUGAUGCUUGGAAGAGUCGGUAACAAGUUGAAUAUUUUUUAUGCUCAACGGAUGAGAUUUAACGUUAUUGACCAACGAUUGAGAUCAAAAUGUAGCUUUUACAACUUCAGAGCGCUUAAGCGCUGCUACCUUUUAGCCAUUAAUUUAUCUGGGUUUCUACUCUA